GCGGGGGUAGUCUAAAGGUAGGAUACCUGCCUUCCAAGCAGGAGAUGCAGGUUCGAUUCCUGCCGCCCCUGCCA
rnacentral:tRNA from 1 species